GUAAGAAUCACCAGUCUUGCCUCUGAAUUACAUCUAUAUAGAAUGACUUAAAUAUUAAAGAUAUUUGGAGCUAUAUACACUUGUCAAUUGCUAAUUUCUCAUCUCUGCUCUGCAAUAUUACAUCAUUCCUUCCUCCAGAUGUUCGAAGAUAUCCUAAAGAGCAGCCCUGGAGGUGAAAAGGUCAUAAAAAAAUACGCACACACUAAAAGUCUGUCAGAUGGCCGAAGACGUGACAUGGUGAAAAUCUUGGUAGCACAUUUGACAAAUGAACAUGGGUAGGUUGUUCAUACAGUACUUUGUAAAUUGAUGUUUAUGAUGUUAUGGGUUGUAAUUGGUUUAUGUUUGUGCAUGUAGAACAAGCCUUUCCCGAAGUUUAAAAGAAAAAUGUGCAAAGGGAAUCAUCGCCCUAUUCCCAUACUUGGUUGACCCCAGGAGCAAGUUUGGUUAUGUUGGGACAGCGACAUGUCUUCCAUUCUGGUGCUGCUUCAUCUUUUGCCACCCUCAAGUCAAUGCUGCAAAAGACCGGGAAAGAUCUCAGCUAGACAAGCAUGUGAUCGUCUUGUGAAAUUCAUCAAGACUGUUACCAGUAUCCAAGGGCACUUGGAUAGCAUUGGAGAGUCUCCAGCUGUAUCUACUUGUUGGGCUGAAGAGAAGUAGGGUCCAGUCUUGUUUUAUUGUAAUUGUCCAACAUGCUCUACCCUGUAAGGCCUCUAAUUCACUGGCCUGUGUUGAUGAGCUUUUCAAAGCUCACUUUGUCUUAAGAACUUCAUACUGUCAGGAAUUGACCAUUGUGUAUAGCUUUCUGCAAAACACUGCCUAUGAUAUAGAUGCUGAAACCAUCAAGUGAUCAUAAUCACAAGUGAAUUAAAUGUAAUACUGUUUAAAUAGGAGCUUGAAAAAUAAAAUUGAGAUAUGAGUAUACAGUUUGUUGUUGACUUUAUUUUCAGAUUGAAAAAUAAGUUUUUC
rnacentral:lncRNA from 1 species